CUAAGAGAAUUGGAACACGCUGAAGAAGAAAAUUGGGAGGAAAUUAGUUUUCAAGAGGCUAUAUAUGUGGAAGCCACACACUUUACCAGAAGCACGUUCUCGGCAUACAGGAAUCACAAUUUGGAAAAUAAAGAAAAGGAGCCGCACGCAUCACGAGAGAAGGGAGAAGCACAUGGAAAUAGAGAGCAACAACAUCGAUUAAAUUAGAUUGAAGAGCAACAUCGGCAACGACGG
rnacentral:lncRNA from 1 species